rnacentral:lncRNA from 1 species
AGUCAUAAUGGGAAAGCCAUGUGGAGGCAGCAGAGUGCCUGGUGUCCAAGGAAGCAUGUAUAGGGGGUACAUAUGGUGGCAGUUGUAUGCUCAGCAGAAGAAGCACCAGGGAGGUGAAGGUCACGUUGACAGCAUGAACCUUCGAUGUGAUGUGAGGAAAAUGGCAUUCUACCUCUGUGUUCUUCCUCCCCAAAAUUUGUAACCACCAUCUAAUCAUGAGGAAAACAUCAUACAAGUCCAAAUUGAGGAAGAUUCUACAAAAUGCCUGAUUAAUAUUCAUCGAAACUGUCAAGGUCAUCAAAAGCAAGGAAAGUCUGAGAAACUGCCACAGCCUAAAGACAAUCCAGGGAAACGUGAUGACUCAGUGGUAUUCGGGGUGGGUUUCUGGAACAGCAAAAGGACAACAGUGUUAACAUCUGGGCCAAACAUCUGGGCAGCAACAUCAGAAAGCCCCUCUGCUGUGCUUCAGGAUCACUCUUAUCACUGCAUAAAGGUACCCUGAGCCACUAUCUAAAUUGUCUGCUUACCUUAUGAAGACACCAUAAGGAGGUAUAACGUGUGGUGAGCACAGGUGAAGAGCUAGAGGCCUGAAACUAGAUGGGGAGGGAGAAGCCAGCCAUGCCUGCAUCCAGGGCUGCACUCAGCCUCCCAGCAUCUGUGCAGAGGCAUCAGUCAAGCCACAGCUAACUGCAGUCCCAGCUAACAUUAUGUGGAACAUCCCAGUCAUCCCAGAUCAUCCCAGUCAACCAAGAUCAUAAAAUUGUUUUCAGCUAUUAAGUUUAAAUAUGUGAAAUAAGGAGAUAAAAAUACUGACUUGGACUCUGUCUGAAUGAAAGGAUUAGUAGAUUAGAUUAGUGAUUCUUAAAAGACUUUCUUGGAUGCAUAUAAGUGUCCACAAAAUAAGAGUAUGAUGGUUUCCAGGUACAAAUAAGAUGGAAAACUAUUUUGUGAAUCAGAAUUAAAUUGGUUUAUUUACUGUAGAACUUCUAAGAGGCUUUAACAUGUACAUUUAAUUAUCAUAAGCCUUAUGAAAACUCCAGGAGGACAGAAGAGUUGCCUGUGACUUUUUUUAAAGUGUUUAUUCACAUCCCAAGGAAGGAUUCCCAGAAGAGAUGAUGCCUAAGCAGUGUCCCAACCAUGAAAUAAAGUCUCCUAGCUACUGGACAAGAUCAUCUCGAAGCUUAUUUCCAGCUCCAAAUGUUAUUAUUUUCCUCAAACCCAUUAUAAAAUGGCCUCUCUUAGCACUAUGAGAUCUGUAAUACAAGAAGUAGAACAAACACAUGAAGUUCCUGUUGGAAAUUCAAACUUCUCAUACAGCCUUCACUGAGUUCUACUCAUUAUGGAUAAAGGCUUCUGCUUUGAGUCACCUAAGUACUUUUGACCCCCAACUUAAUCAAUGCCUUGAAGUGAAAAUACAGUGUCAGGCAGUCCCUAUUCAUGACACAAACAAACCAACCAACUCAUAUCAUGACUUAAUGGUGUGAGACCUCAGUAAAAACUUUAUAUGAACUAAAUUUGUCUCAUUUGUAUCUUCUCAUACCUGUCACAGAAUUUCCUCUGUCCAAUGACACUGGUCCUUCGAUAGUCUUAGCUGUCUUUUCCUUCUUAAACUAACAAAAAUAAAAGUGAAAGAAACAACA